GUAUAGCUCAGUCGGCAGAACAUGAGACUCUUAAUCUCAGGGCUGUGGGUUCAAGCCCAGCGUGAGGCA